rnacentral:tRNA from 1 species
GGGCGGUUAGCUCAGUUGGCUAGAGCGCCUGCUUCACACGCAGGAGGUCACAGGUUCAAGUCCUGUAUCGCCCACCA